GACGAACGCUGGCGGCGUGCUUAACACAUGCAAGUCGAACGGAAAGGCCCUGCUUUUGUGGGGUGCUCGAGUGGCGAACGGGUGAGUAACACGUGAGUAACCUGCCCUUGACUUUGGGAUAACUUCAGGAAACUGGGGCUAAUACCGGAUAGGAGCUCCUGCUGCAUGGUGGGGGUUGGAAAGUUUCGGCGGUUGGGGAUGGACUCGCGGCUUAUCAGCUUGUUGGUGGGGUAGUGGCUUACCAAGGCUUUGACGGGUAGCCGGCCUGAGAGGGUGACCGGCAACAUGGGAACUGAGAUACGGCCCAGACCCCUACGGGAGGAAGCAGUGGGGAAUAUUGCAAAAUGGGCGGAAGCCUGAUGCAGAAACGCCGCGUGCGGGAUGACGGCCUUCGGGUUGUAAACCGCUUUCGCCUGUGACGAAGCGUGAGUGACGGUAAUGGGUAAAGAAGAACCGGCUAACUACGU
rnacentral:rRNA from 1 species